rnacentral:rRNA from 1 species
GAUGAACGCUGGCGGCGUGCUUAACACAUGCAAGUCGAACGUGAAGAAGCAGCAAUGUUUCUGAAAGUGGCGGACGGGUGAGUAACACGUGGGUGACCUGCCUUGCAGAGGGGGAUAACGAGGGGAAACCUUCGCUAAUACCGCAUAGGCUUACACCGAUGGGAAUGGUGUGGGUAAAACUGAGGUGCUGCAAGAGGGGCCUGCGUCCGAUUAGCUAGUUGGUGAGGUAAUGGCUCACCAAGGCGAUGAUCGGUAGCUGGUCUGAGAGGACGAUCAGCCACACGGGAACUGAGAAACGGUCCCGACUCCUACGGGGGGCAGCAGUGAGGAAUAUUGGGCAAUGGACGAAAGUCUGACCCAGCAACGCCGCGUGGAGGAUGAAGGUUUUUGGAUUGUAAACUCCUUUUGUGGGGAAGAGUGAGGACGGUACCCCAAGAAUAAGUCACGGCUAACUACGUG